rnacentral:lncRNA from 1 species
UGAUAAGCCAGAAGUUAAAAUAGCAUGUUUAAUUCAAUCCUCACUACAACUAGGCAGAUAAGGAAGAGAUGGCUUGAAAGUAUGGCAUCACUUUGGUAUUUAGUGCAGUGAUGGGAUUGUCAUCACACUCAAUGUUUUGUAGCUGUUCCUGGUGCCUAGGGGAUAUUUAGCGAAGGCAAGGGAAAGGGAAGAUUUCAAGCAACAGACGGAUGGGAAGCCUUGAAAAUUUCGCCAAACCCGCCAGGUCAGAGUGGGGCAGCACAGCCUUCAAGUCCUCAUCUGUAAAAGGAAAAAGAACAGGAGAACUCCUGGAAGGUCCAUACCAGACGCUGCAGACACUUGCUCAGUUGCCUGCGGAUGGAUUUGCUCUGGCUGCGGGUAAGGCACCAGGCUAAAUGCUUUACCCGGGACUCCUUCUUUGCUCGUCACCACCAUUUUGCAAGGGAGCAGCUGUUCGCCCCAUAUUACUGAUAAGAGACCAAGAUGAGUUAAGAAACUUGAUCAAGAUCACACCGUUAUGCGUCUAAGUGGCAGUAAGAACUUGUUUCACAGGAUGUCUCAGAUAGAUGCUAAUAAAGCCUUUUGGAUACAUAAAGGAAUAAAUUAUGGUUAAUCUCUACUUCAAAAUGAAAAAGAACUGAAAGGAAAUGGAAAGAAAGAAAAUUUUAACUACAGAAUUAAAUAAAUGAAAAGAAUUUCCU